rnacentral:rRNA from 1 species
UACGUAGGGGGCGAGCGUUGUCCGGAAUUAUUGGGCGUAAAGAGCUUGUAGGCGGUUUGUCGCGUCUGCUGUGAAAUUUCGGGGCUCAACCCCGAACUUGCAGUGGGUACGGGCAGACUAGAGUGUGGUAGGGGAGACUGGAAUUCCUGGUGUAGCGGUGAAAUGCGCAGAUAUCAGGAGGAACACCGAUGGCGAAGGCAGGUCUCUGGGCCACUACUGACGCUGAGAAGCGAAAGCAUGGGGAGCGAACAGG